UACGAAGGGGGCUAGCGUUGUUCGGAAUUACUGGGCGUAAAGCGUACGUAGGCGGCGCAGCAAGUUGGGGGUGAAAUCCCGAGGCUCAACCUCGGAAUUGCCUUCAAAACUGCUGUGCUCGAGUUCGGAAGAGGUGAGUGGAAUUCCCAGUGUAGAGGUGAAAUUCGUAGAGAUUGGGAAGAACACCAGUGGCGAAGGCGGCUCACUGGUCCGCAACUGACGCUGAGGUGCGAAAGCGUGGGGAGCAAACAGG
rnacentral:rRNA from 1 species